rnacentral:rRNA from 1 species
GACGGAGGAUGCAAGCGUUGUCCGGAAUGAUUGGGCGUAAAGCGUUCGCAGGUGGCUGUUCAAGUCUGCUGUCAAAGACCGGGGCUUAACCCUAGAAAGGCAGUGGAAACUGGACGGCUGGAGUGCAGUAUGGGUAGAGGGAAUUCCCAGUGUAGCGGUGAAAUGAGUAGAGAUUGGGAAGAACACUGGUGGCGAAAGCGCUCUGCUGGACUGCAACUGACACUGAGGGACGAAAGCUAGGGGAGCGAAAGGG